rnacentral:rRNA from 1 species
AGCGAACGCUGGCGGCAGGCCUAACACAUGCAAGUCGAACGAACCUUUCGGGCUUAGUGGCGGACGGGUGAGUAACACGUGGGAACUUGCCUUUAGGUUCGGUAUAACUCAGGGAAACUUGUGCUAAUACCGAAUGUGCCCUUCGGGGGAAAGAUCAAUCGCCUUUGGAGCGGCGCUCGUCUGAUUGGCUAGUUGGUUGAGGUAAUGGCUCAUCAAGGCGGCGAUCCGUAGCUGGUCUGAGAGGAUGCUCAGCCACAUUGGGACGCGGACACGGCCCAAACGCCUGCCGGAAGUAGCAAUGGGGAAACUGCGCGAGGGGCGAAAGCCCGACGCAGCCAUGCCGCGGGAAUGGUGAAGGUCUUAGGAUUGCAAAAUUCUUUCACCCGGGGCGAUAAUGACGGUAACCGGUAAAGAAGCCCCGGCUAACUUCGUG